UUCAAUUCAACAUAAGCCUUACAUUCAAUUCAUUAUGACUCACUUUCACAUUAGCAUGCUCAAAGACCAACGCUUUCAUUAAUUAGCCCAAUAAGACUCAUUCAUUCAUUAUCAUUACUAAGACACACCAAGAUCUCCCUUAAAUGUCUACUUGUGCAAUGUCUAGAUGAUGUCCCAUUCCACCACCUAUCCUAAGUAGUACACCCUUAAGAGACCCUAAUUCAU
rnacentral:lncRNA from 1 species